UGGAAGUAAAAGUCGUAACAAGGUCUCCGUUGGUGAACCAGCGGAGGGAUCAUUACCGGACUCGCAAGACUCCCGUAACCACCGUGAACUCUACCUGUCUUCGUUGCCUCGGCGGGCACACCCGGGCCAGCUCCCGGUGCCCGCCGGCGGCCCCCCACACCCUGUCUCCAGCGUUGGCAUCUCCGAGACCCCCUAGAAGAAUCAAAACUUUCAACAACGGAUCUCUUGGCUCUGGCAUCGAUGAAGAACGCAGCGAAAUGCGAUAAGUAAUGCGAAUUGCAGAAUUCAGUGAAUCAUCGAAUCUUUGAACGCACAUUGCGCCCGCCAGCACUCUGGCGGGCAUGCCUGUUCGAGCGUCAUGACCACCCCUCAGGCCCUGCGCCUGGCGUUGGGGCCCUGCGCGGCAGGCCCCGAAGGACAGCGGCGGCCGCGCCCCGAGACGGAACGCAGUAGUGCAUCUCGUUCCCCCCUCCCGGCGCGCGCUGGCCACAGAACCCAUCACAUAUCGUGUUUGACCUCGGAUCAGGUAGGAAUACCCGCUGAACUUAAGCAUAUCAAUAAG
rnacentral:rRNA from 1 species